rnacentral:rRNA from 1 species
UACGGAGGAUUCGAGCGUUAUCCGGAUUUAUUGGGUUUAAAGGGUGCGUAGGCGGGCUAAUAAGUCAGCGGUGAAAUCACUCAGCUUAACUGAGUAACUGCCGUUGAUACUGUUAGUCUAGAAUAUAAAUGGUGCAGGCGGAAUGAAUCAUGUAGAGGUGACAUUCAUAGAUAUGAUUCAGAACACCGAUCGCGAAGGCAGCUUGCAAAGAUAUUAUUGACGCUGAGGCACGAAAGCGUGGGUAGCGAACAGGAUUAGAUACCCUGGUAGUCCACGCUGUAAACGAUGAUAACUCGUUGUCGGCGAUACACAGUCGGUGACUAAGCGAAAGCGAUAAGUUAUCCACCUGGGGAGUACGAUCGCAAGGUUGAA